AUACGGAGGAUCCGAGCGUUAUCCGGAUUUAUUGGGGUUAAAGGGAGCGUAGGUGGAUUGUUAAGUCAGUUGUGAAAGUUUGCGGCUCAACCGUAAAAUUGCAGUUGAAACUGGCAGUCUUGAGUACAGUAGAGGUGGGGGGAAUUCGUGGGGUAGCGGUGAAAUGCUUAGAUAUCACGAAGAACUCCGAUUGCGAAGGCAGCUCACUAGACUGUUACUGACACUGAUGCUCGAAAGUGUGGGUAUCAAACAGGAUUAGAUACCCUGGUAGUCCACACAGUAAACGAUGAAUACUCGCUGUUUGCGAUAUACAGUAAGCGGCCAAGCGAAAGCAUUAAGUAUUCCACCUGGGGAGUACGCCGGCAACGGUGAAACUUAAAGGAAUUGACGGGG
rnacentral:rRNA from 1 species